AGAGCGAACGCUGGCGGCGUGCUUAACACAUGCAAGUCGAACGCGCAGCAUUCUGUAGCAAUACAGGGUGUGGGCGCGUGGCGAACGGGUGCGUAACACGUGGAUAACCUUCCUUCAGGUGGGGAAUAACCCAGUGAAAAUUGGGCUAAUACCGCAUAACAAAACGAUGAGACAUCUUGUUGUUUUCAAAGGCGCAAGUCGCCAGAAGAGGGAUCCGCGGCCGAUUAGCUUGUUGGCGAGGUAAUGGCUCACCAAGGCAAUGAUCGGUAGCCGGACUGAGAGGUUGGCCGGCCACACUGGAACUGAGACACGGUCCAGACUCCUACGGGAGGCAGCAGUGGGGAAUCUUGCACAAUGGGCGAAAGCCUGAUGCAGCAACGCCGCGUGGGGGAUGAAGCUUCUCGGAGUGUAAACCCCUUUCGACCCGGAAGAAAGCCCGCAAGGGUUGACGGUACGGGUAUAAGAAGCCCCGGCUAACUACGUGCCAGCAGCCGCGGUAA
rnacentral:rRNA from 1 species